rnacentral:rRNA from 1 species
GACUAACGCUGGCGGCGUGCUUAACACAUGCAAGUCGAACGUGAUUUUUGUGGAAAUUCUUUCGGGAAUGGAAAUGAAAUGAAAGUGGCGAACGGGUGAGUAACACGUGAGCAACCUACCUUACACAGGGGGAUAGCCGUUGGAAACGACGAUUAAUACCGCAUGAGACCACAGAAUCGCAUGAUAUAGGGGUCAAAGAUUUAUCGGUGUAAGAAGGGCUCGCGUCUGAUUAGCUAGUUGGAAGGGUAAAGGCCUACCAAGGCGACGAUCAGUAGCCGGUCUGAGAGGAUGAACGGUCACAUUGGAACUGAGACACGGUCCAAACUCCUACGGGAGGCAGCAGUGGGGAAUAUUGCACAAUGGGGGGAACCCUGAUGCAGCGACGCCGCGUGAGCGAAGAAGGUUUUCGAAUCGUAAAGCUCUGUCCUAUGAGAAGAUAAUGACGGUAUCAUAGGAGGAAGCCCCGGCUAAAUACGUGCCAGCAGCCGCGGUAAUACGUAUGGGGCGAGCGUUGUCCGGAAUUAUUGGGCGUAAAGGGUACGUAGGCGGUUUUUUAAGUCAGGUGUGAAAGCGUGAGGCUUAACCUCAUUAAGCACUUGAAACUGGAAGGCUUGAGUGAAGGAGAGGAAAGUGGAAUUCCUAGUGUAGCGGUGAAAUGCGUAGAUAUUAGGAGGAAUACCGGUGGCGAAGGCGACUUUCUGGACUUUUACUGACGCUCAGGUACGAAAGCGUGGGGAGCAAACAGG